GACCCGUAAUCCGGGUUGCGGACAGUGUCUGGUGGGUAGUUUGACUGGGGCGGUCUCCUCCUAAAGAGUAACGGAGGAGCACGAAGGUUGGCUAAUCCUGGUCGGACAUCAGGAGGUUAGUGCAAUGGCAUAAGCCAGCUUGACUGCGAGCGUGACGGCGCGAGCAGGUGCGAAAGCAGGUCAUAGUGAUCCGGUGGUUCUGAAUGGAAGGGCCAUCGCUCAACGGAUAAAAGGUACUCCGGGGAUAACAGGCUGAUACCGCCCAAGAGUUCAUAUCGACGGCGGUGUUUGGCACCUCGAUGUCGGCUCAUCACAUCCUGGGGCUGAAGUAGGUCCCAAGGGUAUGGCUGUUCGCCAUUUAAAGUGGUACGCGAGCUGGGUUUAGAACGUCGUGAGACAGUUCGGUCCCUAUCUGCCGUGGGCGCUGGAGAACUGAGGGGGGCUGCUCCUAGUACGAGAGGACCGGAGUGGACGCAUCACUGGUGUUCGGGUUGUCAUGCCAAUGGCACUGCCCGGUAGCUAAAUGCGGAAGAGAUAAGUGCUGAAAGCAUCUAAGCACGAAACUUGCCCCGAGAUGAGUUCUCCCUGACCCUUUAAGGGUCCUGAAGGAACGUUGAAGACGACGACGUUGAUAGGCCGGGUGUGUAAGCGCAGCGAUGCGUUGAGCUAACCGGUACUAAUGAACCGUGAGGCUUAACCUU
rnacentral:rRNA from 1 species